GGAGGCACAGGUCACGGACCGGUGCACACGCCGCCGAACAGGUGAGCGAAGACUUGGAAAGCGUGUUGGUGGCAACGCCUCAGGAGUUCGAAUCUCCUACCCUCCG
rnacentral:tRNA from 1 species